rnacentral:lncRNA from 10 species
GAAGUGAUAGACAUCCGGUCUAUCACCAGCUUCUCAGAUAGGCAAGUCAUUCUUCUUGCAUAGAGAAACCUGGAGGCAUCAGAGGUCGGGUGGUGCUCAGGUUACAGUACUUUGGCGCAGGUACGGGAGAGGUGGUCCCUCUUCUGUUUGGAAAUGUGAAGCGCGUGUGUGUGUGCACGUGAACGUGGUGGACAAAGGCUACUUCCUCAUACUAUACAUGAAAGGGCCAUAGGAAGAUAAUCAAAAAGGAAAAGAAAGGAAAGAGAUCUUCAUGUAAACAGAGUCCCUCUUAUUGGCUGAAGUGAAGAGUCAUUCUGAGGCAUCUCAAGAUGAAGGUUUCCUAUUUGUGAUUAUGAAAAAAAUGUCAAGAACAAGUCCCUUGGUGUUCUUAGACCAAAGUCAGAACAACAGACCUACCAGCUGCCUUGUUGUGAACUGCCCUACAGAGAGGCCACAUGGCAAAAAGCUGAGCAUGGUCUCUGCCGAACAGCCAUUGAGGACCUGAGGCUCUCAGUCCAACAGCCCACAGUGAAUUGAAUCCUGCCAGUAACCACUGAGUGGGUUUGGGAGAGGAUCCUGGUGAACCUUGAAAUGACUGGAGUCCUGGUUGACACCACAAUUGGAGCUUACAAAAGACUCUGAGCUGGAGGACCUAGUGAAGCCAUAUUUGGAUCUCUGGCCCAUAGAAACUGUGAGGUAAUAAGUGCAUGUUAUUUUAAGCUGCUAAGUUUGGCAGAAGAAGGAGGGGAGUGUAAUUUGUUACAUAGCAAUAGAUAACUGAUACACUCCUAGUUACAAAAGUUUGUCCAGGUAUGUGCAUGUGAGCAAUUGAGCCAAUGGUAAGUAGGCUGAUCCUCGACUUUUCAACUGGUAGAAGGAGAGGGGAGGGAAGGAAAAAAGAAAGCAAGAGAGGAGGUGGCGGGCGUGGAGAGAGAGAGAGAGAGAGAGACUAUUUUCUGCCAUCUAUGAAGCAAAGAAGUUGUUCUAUAGCUGUUGUCAUCUUGCGACUUUGUGGAGGUAACCUGUCUUAAAAGAAAGCUAACACAAAUCAGAAAGCAUAGCUGAGAGAGAGGGAGAUACCAGGUUCUAGGGCAUCAUUUAAAUACCUUCAUCACACUGUGUCUGAAGCCAGUGGAUGUGAAUCACUGGAUUCCCUUUUUUUCUUAAGCCAGUUUCCAUUUUUUUUUGUAACCCAGACUUUGACCUGAUACAAACUGUAAUUAGCUGAUGAUCAAAACUUCAGCUGUCCAAAGAAGGACUUGUCACCCUAAAACAGAUGUUCCAAAUUUUGUCUCAACUGACACAAUUUGGAGCAUCUGUUUACAGCUUUACAGGAAGGGGGAGAAGGUAUUUUUAAGUGUGUGAGCACAAGUUAAAAAAGUAAUUGGAAACUAAGUAAGUACAAAAACAUCUUCAAUCAAAGAAACAUUUUGUAAGCUGAAAUAUUGUUCAUUUUUAUGAUGGUAUGUGUAUAUCUUCAUAUAUAAAACUUCACUGUCAUUAGAAAAUGUCACACAAAAUAACAAAUACACCUUUUUCAAUCUGGUUAUAAAUAUGCAGAAUGGAGUUUAUUUACCAAAGUGUUACACAUUUCCAACUGAUAAUAUAUCAAUAAAAGCUCUCACUCCAAGAUGUCAUUAAAGCCACAUUUGUUCAUUUCUAUUUAUUAUGAGAAAAAAAAAACAAAAUGAAAAAAGUGGAUUUGAGUCAUAUUUCCUGUGAGUUCAUCAUUUGCUGGCAUAUAACACUUGUGAAUUUUAUUCAAUUCAUUUAAAAUGAUUUCUUACAUGCAGCCAGAAAGUUGAGGGUGGCAAGGAAUUCAAAAUGAUCAGCAGGCAUCCAAGAUUUCUCAGGAGACAGAUUUAGAAUCACAACUGAG